CACUAAUUCAUUGAGAUUCAUGUUUUCAAAAUUCUAAUCCUCCUUUUUCCACCUCCCACCUCUUCAUCUUCCUUCUUCCUUCUUCCGUAUUUUCUUCUUCGUUUUGUUUUUCUUCCUUCUUCCUUUUUUUCAUUUUUUAGACAGAUUCAAGACGAUGCCUCUUUGUUCAUUUGACGGAUCUAUGAUCGGAAGCGUCGUUGACGGAUCUAUAUCUGCGACGAUGCCUCUUUGUCAAGAGAAACCAACCGAGAUUGCGUCCAUAGGUUUGCUUUAACCAAUUAAAUGCAAAAAUCCAUAGAUCAGUUCUUAAAUCAAUGUCGAUCUUCUUGGGUAAGGAAACCCUAACCUAAUCUGCUUUCAACCCUUUUUCUGGGUUUUGAUUUUGUAGUUAGGGGUUUUACAGUCCAAGGCUCAGAAGGAGUGUUAGCCUAAAAGUUCGAUUUAUGGCUGAGAUAAUUAUGGUUUAUCAAACUUAUUUUAAGGUUAUAUGUAUACUAUUUGCUUAUGCAUAUGAAAUGUGGUUAUGAUUUAAGAAUUGUUGGUUGCUAAUUAUUACUUAUUACAUCCCUGUUGUUUUCAAGCUUACGUGAAUUUGAGCUUUUUUACUAUCCAAACUGAACAUACCCGCUUUGUUUUUGUUAUAAAAGUAAUUAUGUAUGGUUAUUGAUAUUUUGUGGUUGAUUUGAUAAUUUUGAGGUUUAUUUUUCAGGAUUUAGACUUGAUAGAGUUUUACCGCUGACUUUUGAAUCUAACAAGAGGAUUAAGUGAAAGAAAGAGCAAAAAGAGAUGCAGCAGCUGCUAGCAAUGGAGGGAAUACUCAUGGAAAGGAUUGUGUAUGAAGUGAUGGCCUCUUAUCGUAUUAGAAGUGAAUUUGAAUUGUGACAUAGAUAGCAGUGACUUGGUUCUGAAAUUGCAUAUGUUUGGUGGAUCUCAUCUCAAGUUAUCUGAGUUGUUUUCAGCAAAACUAAUUCAUCUCUGGUUGGAUCUAAGCUUGGUGUUCAAAGGAACUCAAACAUUGUGAGCAGAAGGAAGUUUUCAUCUGGUUGCUGGAACUGUUGGUUUAAUGAGUGUACCAGUCAUGGGAAUCUCAACGCGUUCGCAAGCCACAACUAAGAGUGUAUACAAUGCUGCCUUGGCCUUAGGAAUUGCAAAUCAGCUAACCAACAUACUCAGAGAUGUCGGAGAGGAUUAACUUAUUCACUUAAGAUCAUCCAAGAUGAACUGCGUUUGACAUCGAAAAUAACUGUAGAUGAUUGUUUUGUAGAUGAUUGUUUUGACAUUGAAAUGGCAGUUGGAAAGUCUCACAGUUUCAGGAUGUCGGAGUCUCUAAAGCCUUCACCGGCUAAGAAGCCUUGCAAAUAUCGAAGCAGGGAAAAUCGUCAGGAAGAUCCUAUUCCAGUGAAGUUAUGGAACAAGAAAUUUGGAAAGAUUUUCCUGAAGAUUUAUUUGAGGCGGUAAUUGCACAGCUUCAUAUUGCCACUUUUUUCUGCUUCCGUUAUGUAUGUCGUGCAUGCAUCUGUCAUGCUCACUAAUUCUAGCUUUCGCAGUUUGCCCAACUUCCUUAAUUUCACGGUUAUUCACAUUUAUAUUUCCACAUCACAACAGGAAUUCAAAUGGGUAAACUUUGAUAUAAACAUGUUGCUGAAGUUGCUGAAGGUUUUGAAGUCAUUGUUUUACAGAUUUGAGAGAGAUUUUUGUUAAAAUUCUAUAAAUUUAAUGCAAAUUAAUUUAUUUUAUUGGUUGUUAA